GCUCAGUGGAGCUGGGCAUGCUCAGUGAGCCACCAGAGGCAGUGGACCCUUAGGCGUAGCACCUGCACCGCCCUGCCCUGGGGAGGCGACCCCGAGUACCCACGCGGGACACUGGUAAAGGGGGCAUUGUUGGACAUGACUAGCUCUGUCUGGUUCCUGGAGAGGGACAUAAAGGGUGUGUUUGUGCUAGGGUACAAAGAGAGGAUGGCAUCUUCCUUUGCCACCGGAGUAUUGGGGAACUAGGAGGUGCGACCGGCCUUUGGCUUCCUGCACAGUCGGAAUCCGGAGGAUCUUUAAGGGAAGAAGCAAAGCUACCUCUGCCAAGAAAGCCAGCUUCUCACUGAAGCUCUCCUGAUUGGGGAGUGUUCCUAAGAGAAUCAGCCUCUGCCAGGAGAUGGAAGUGGCUUAUUUUGAAGACAACAUCCUCACACGUGUGUGUCCCUGUAUAUCUGGGACCCCCAGCUAAGUGUCAGUUCCUUGCUCAGAGAACCUGUGAUUGGGAUUCUCUGGGGGGAAAUGUUCAAAAUGAAUCAAUUAUCACCACCAGCAGAGAGUUCAAUACCACUGUACAGGGACCCAGCUUUGUAUUAGUGCAUGAAUGAAUUACUGGUACUCAUGUCAUUUGCAAAUAACCAUCAUUAUAGCGCAGUGGAAAAUUCCCCCUACCCAUUUAGUCUAAGUAGCACCUUAGCAGAGCAUUGCAAUAACCCUCAUGGACCCUCCAAAAUAUUUGCACAUAUAUGUUCAGAUUAAGCUCCAGAUAGUUUAAUAUGAGAGUAUCUAUUUGGACACAAGGUCACCCCUUACACUCAUUAAACCAAUCUGAAUGAGGUCUGAUAACUCUUAAGGGAAAUCAGCACUUGAAAUGCUUUCGACUUUUUGGAGACACGGAUGGAAUAUAUCAGCAGGCUUCGCUCAGCAUGAGACAGCUCUGAAAACUCCAGAAAGGACAUAUCGCUGUCCCACCCCACCCUCAGAGUCGUUCUUCACACAUCUAAGGCUUGUGGUGGGUGUGAAUUUAAUGUAAGGGGUGGGGGGAGUGGAGAACUUUACAGAAAAAGUGUGUUUCUUCUGACCAAAUCUGAUCUGAGUCAAUUUUUCUGCUGAUUCCUCCUACCCAGUGGGAAUUUUUAAAAAAUACAUAACGAGCACAUUUUGUGUUCUAAAGGACAUGAAUAAAAUGAUCCAGAGCUGUGGAGAUAA
rnacentral:lncRNA from 1 species